rnacentral:rRNA from 1 species
UACGGAGGGUGCAAGCGUUAUCCGGAUUUACUGGGUUUAAAGGGUGCGUAGGCGGGCUUUUAAGUCAGUGGUGAAAUCUCCGAGCUUAACUCGGAAAUUGCCAUUGAUACUAUUAGUCUUGAAUUAAGUUGAGGUGGGCGGAAUGUGUCAUGUAGCGGUGAAAUGCUUAGAUAUGACGCAGAACACCGAUUGCGAAGGCAGCUCGCUAAACUUAUAUUGACGCUGAGGCACGAAAGCGUGGGGAUCAAACAGG